rnacentral:rRNA from 1 species
AUGGAAGGCUUACUACACAGGGACUUUGCUCCUGGCUUGGCCCUGGCCGAUCAGGUGAGAAGAAAAUUUGGUUCUACGGUGCACUUCUCUUCUUCUCGUGACAUCAAGGAGUUCUUCUUGGUGGUUUCCUUUUCGUCGGCCUCCUUCCCUCUCACGGUUGAAUCGGUGGGUAUCGCUCUUCAGUGUUGCAUUGGA